AGUUUCCCUCAGGAUAGCUGGAGC
rnacentral:ncRNA from 3 species